rnacentral:rRNA from 1 species
GUGGGGAAUAUUGGACAAUGGGCGAAAGCCUGAUCCAGCCAUGCCGCGUGUGUGAAGAAGGUCUUCGGAUUGUAAAGCACUUUAAGUUGGGAGGAAGGGCAGUAAGUUAAUACCUUGCUGUUUUGACGUUACCGACAGAAUAAGCACCGGCUAACUUCGUGCCAGCAGCCGCGGUAAUACGAAGGGUGCAAGCGUUAAUCGGAAUUACUGGGCGUAAAGCGCGCGUAGGUGGUUCAGUAAGUUGGAAGUGAAAUCCCCGGGCUCAACCUGGGAACUGCUUUCAAAACUGCUGAGCUAGAGUACGGUAGAGGGUGGUGGAAUUUCCUGUGUAGCGGUGAAAUGCGUAGAUAUAGGAAGGAACACCAGUGGCGAAGGCGACCACCUGGGCCUGUACUGACGCUCAUGCACGAAAGCGUGGGGAGCAAACAGGAUUAGAUACCCCUGUAGUCC